GAUGAACGCUGGCGGCGUGCCUAAUACAUGCAAGUCGAGCGAACGGAUGAGGAGCUUGCUCCUCUGACGUUAGCGGCGGACGGGUGAGUAACACGUGGAUAACCUACCUAUAAGACUGGGAUAACUUCGGGAAACCGGAGCUAAUACCGGAUAAUAUAUUGAACCGCAUGGUUCAAUAGUGAAAGACGGUUUUGCUGUCACUUAUAGAUGGAUCCGCGCCACAUUAGCUAGUUGGUAAGGUAACGGCUUACCAAGGCAACGAUGCGUAGCCGACCUGAGAGGGUGAUCGGCCACACUGGAACUGAGACACGGUCCAGACUCCUACGGGAGGCAGCAGUAGGGAAUCUUCCGCAAUGGGCGAAAGCCUGACGGAGCAACGCCGCGUGAGUGAUGAAGGUCUUCGGAUCGUAAAACUCUGUUAUUAGGGAAGAACAAAUGUGUAAGUAACUAUGCACGUCUUGACGGUACCUAAUCAGAAAGCCACGGCUAACUACGUG
rnacentral:rRNA from 1 species